ensembl:snoRNA
AGGCACUUUUUGAACCUGAACGGCCUUUUCCUUGGCCGUUCACACAGGUCAAAACUAGUGCAAAAUCAUGACAUCUUGUUAUAACUGGGGUUUCUUGGCUUUUUCACCAAGUCUCUCUUUUAAGGCAAGACACAGAA